rnacentral:rRNA from 1 species
CCGGGCGCACGGGUGAGUAACACGUAUCCAACCUGCCGUCUACUCUUGGACAGCCUUCUGAAAGGAAGAUUAAUACAAGAUGGCAUCAUGAGUCCGCAUGUUCACAUGAUUAAAGGUAUUCCGGUAGACGAUGGGGAUGCGUUCCAUUAGAUAGUAGGCGGGGUAACGGCCCACCUAGUCUUCGAUGGAUAGGGGUUCUGAGAGGAAGGUCCCCCACAUUGGAACUGAGACACGGUCCAAACUCCUACGGAAGGCAGCAG